rnacentral:rRNA from 1 species
GAUGAACGCUGGCGGCGUGCUUAACACAUGCAAGUCGAACGGUGAAGGCGGAGCUUGCUCUGCUGGAUCAGUGGCGAACGGGUGAGUAACACGUGAGCAAUCUGCCCCUGACUCUGGGAUAAGCGCUGGAAACGGCGUCUAAUACUGGAUACGAGCUGCGAAGGCAUCUUCAGCAGCUGGAAAGAAUUUCGGUCAGGGAUGAGCUCGCGGCCUAUCAGCUUGUUGGUGAGGUAAUGGCUCACCAAGGCGUCGACGGGUAGCCGGCCUGAGAGGGUGACCGGCCACACUGGGACUGAGACACGGCCCAGACUCCUACGGGAGGCAGCAGUGGGGAAUAUUGCACAAUGGGCGAAAGCCUGAUGCAGCAACGCCGCGUGAGGGACGACGGCCUUCGGGUUGUAAACCUCUUUUAGCAGGGAAGAAGCGAAAGUGACGGUACCUGCAGAAAAAGCGCCGGCUAAUUACGUG